CCAGCCCCUUUACUCUUCUUCUUCUUCCGUUUUUUUUUCUUGGCUGCUUCCUCAGCUGUAGAGGCAGCUCCCUCCUCCCUGUCGUCUGGAUCCAGGUCGCCAUUCAGGUGGCUCCCGGAGGCCACUGCCUCCUCCACGCCCGCCAUGUUCCCCGAGAAAGCGCGAGGGAGCGAGUCAGAGCGGCGAGGGCCUACUCCUCCUCCACCCACCUACACAAGCGACGCCGGAAACUGCUCUCUGUGUUGAAACCUGAAAGGAAAGAAUGGAAAAAGAGAACAUGUGCAGACCACAUCUCCAACCAGAGAUACACCACAAAAGCCAAGCGUAGAUAAAACAUUUGAAAUCACUCUUCAAUUGUUGGUGUACUUCACAUUUCCAAAGGCUUAUACGAUGCUCAAGACUGAUGCUUCCUCGUUCCUCAUUUCCCAAAGAACUAUGCGAAUGAAUUGCCAUUUCAAAUCGGACCAUGAAGUCAUUAAGAGAGCUUUAUUCUACUCAGAACCGUUGUUCUCAGAUCUCCCGGGAGAGCGUUUUACCUGUUGUCAUCCACUUCUCAC